UGGGAGUGACAGCCUGUCGAAAGAUGGUUUUCUUCGGACACUCUUCAAGGUGCUGCAUGGUUGUCGUCAGCUCGUGCCGUGAGGUGUCGGUUAAGUCCCAUAACGAGCGCAACCCUUACCGUUAGUUACCAUCAGGUUAAGCUGGGGACUCUAGCGGGACUGCCACCGUAAGGUGAGAGGAAGGUGGGGAUGACGUCAAAUCAGCACGGCCCUUAUGUCCAGGGCUACACACGUGUUACAAUGGCCGGUACAAAGGGCAGCUACUUCGCGAGAAGAUGCUAAUCUCGAAAGCUGGUCUCAGUUCGGAUCGAAGUCUGCAACCCGACUUCGUGAAGCUGGAUUCGCUAGUAAUCGCGCAUCAGCCAUGGCGCGGUGAAUACGUUCCCGGGCCUU
rnacentral:rRNA from 1 species